CUACAUCAUAAUGAAAUUACGUCAUCAUCACGUCGCUUGGCUUUCACAAUGUCAACAACGAUCUAACAGGCCAAAGAAAUAUUUUUCCUCUUUUUGUUUUGUUAGAGGUUGUGAUGAGUGAAGAAUGUGUCUGGGAUUCAGUGCGUGUCAAGAUGGUGGAUACCCUUGAAUCAAAAGCAAUGAAGGCGGCCAAAGAUGGCCCAAAUUCUGUAGUUGUGGUCUACAUACCGUCACUUUGUUAGUCGAAAGUCGGCAAUAACAAUAUGCUAAAUUAAAUUGACAC